rnacentral:lncRNA from 1 species
CCCUCCUAUCCCUGCAUGAAUCCUGGCAUGACCCCGGACACCCAAGAAAGUGCACCUUUGACAAUGGUGCACCAGGUCAUGGUGGCACCUCUCCCCUUGGUGGUGGCAUCUGGGGCCCUUGCACACAGGGGACAAGGAACCUGAAGUGAAGGGGAGUUGACCUAUUGAGGCCACACUGAGGACAGUCCCUCUCACUUUGGGAGAGGAGAUGGCACUCCUGGUCUGAUGUUCCAGAAUUCCUCUCCAUGGAAGGAGAGGAGAACACCAUAACAUAUUAGAGCAGAGAGGGGAUCCGCGGCAAAGGCAAGGCUUCUGUUACAAAGAUGGGGAAAGAGUUUUCCAGUCGUGUAUUUAUUUUUGAGCAGGCCAUUGAUGCCUAUGGUGCAACAGACCACAGGGAGAAUACACAGGGAAGCUGCUGUGCCCCCCACCAAGAGGUUCCCAGUCUUCCUGUCCCCAACCCCUCCCCAGCUCCUCAUCCAGGUCCCUUGCCCUCUGCUCAGCACAAGGCAUGCUGGCGGCCACAGACAUAUCUACUGACAUGAACACACGCCCCCCACCUACACUGCGCUGGCUGGGGGAUACCACAGGGGCCUAACUAGGGAACAUGUGAAAGGUGGCAAGAAUGGACAAGUGGCCUGUGGCAUGAUGGAUGGGCUGGCAGACAGAUGGAUGGAUGGGUUGGUAGACAGACAGACAGAUGGAGCCGCUAGGAGGUGACUACCUGGCUGGGGAGGCCUGUCUGAGAAGUGAUGGAUGGGAUGCAGAGGGGGCUGAGAGGGGCUGGGCCAAGGUGGGAAGGAAGGAAGAAGGAAGGAAGGAAGGAUGGAUGGCUGGAUGGAUGGAUG